CUGGUCUUGUAAACCAGAAAUGAAGAACUAAUCUUCUUAAGACA
rnacentral:tRNA from 1 species